UUUGUGCCCCAAAAUCCCUCUCUCUUCUGGCUCUCCCCCGCUUAUCAGGUGAUUGGGAGAGUGCACAGAAAAAAAUUCCAUGCUCAUACAUAUGGGGAAUGAAUUCGAGGUUGCAUGCAAAUAUCACAACACUGCCUCAAUAACACAAUCUAUUUAUGAUGUUAUAAAAUAGUAGAUGGACUUAAAACCAGAUCUUAACCAAAUAACAAUAAAAUAUAUUUCUAAAUGAUAUUAUUCUUUAACAUGUAACGAUUUUUUGUUCGGUGUAAGAAAGUGGAAGAGCGCGAAGUGUUGCGAUUAUUUUGCCAUUUAGGUGUAUUGCGGCUGGGGCCGUGUAGUAGUGUGUGUGAGCGGCGCUCUCUCUGGCUGGCAAGUUGUUGUUGUAUUGUGGCGCCAGCUUGCCGCGUCAGGUCGUCACUUUCUAUAUUGAUAUUAACUUUUAAGCGAAAACAGCAAAAACGAAAUGAAAAUAAAUAAUGAGCGAAAAACAAACACGGGCUGAGCGAGAGAGAGGGAGUGAGCGCGGAGAGCGAGGUGAGUUGGCGCUCUCGAUGGCGCCACAAUUUUAAUGCUAACUUACAAGAGUGCUUGAAAGGGGGUGCAGAGGCGGCGGGGGUACAAGGGGUCCUAUGGGGGCUAUGAUAUCAUUCACGGCACUACCAUUACCCGGCGACUGAGACGGCACCGUGAAACUGAAACUGGCCAGAACUCACACAUGCAUGCAUUCAUUCGAGUGUGUGUGUGUGUGUAUAUACCAUCGUCCAUUUAGCUUUUUUAUGGCAUUGUACUGGCGACGAAACGACGGAAAACUAUUACAUUUAAAUGGACCGUUAAGUUGCGGCUUUACGACGAUUGGGUGACAGGCCAGUUAAAAAUAGAUUGAAAUUCCGAUUUGAUUGAUUCCCAUCACAGUUUUGUCAAAUGGACAUUGUUGGCAAAGUCUUUGAACUGCGAAUGAUAGACUCGAACGGCCUUCUCAAGAAUUUUGUAAUCAAUGAUGGAAUGGUGUUUUAAAUUUUAUGCUGGUUAAUUAGGAAAGCAAAGCUUUCUUGGGCAAUCGAUUCAAUUUCGUAAUUGCAUUACUGCAACUUCAUCGCCGGUGGCACACACAAGUCGGGCAUCCGUGUUUCCCCGAAGGCAACACAUGUGUGCCACCAACAACAAACUUACAGGCCACUGCCUCGACCCACACAUGCACACAGAUUGAAGAUAAAAUAUUCUAAAUUUAAAGAUGAUGUAGCAGCCCGUGGAUUCGGGCAUCUAACACAAAUGUAUGUACAUUUAUGUACCUACUUACAUAAAUAUUAGCAGGGGAAUCAGCAGCCAUGAAGCGGCGCUACGAAUUUACAAAUGUGUAGUACAGGAAAAACUGCAGUAGGUAGAUCUUUCAACCAGAACCCUCCUCCAGCUUAGAGCUCUAUCUUUAAUUUAAAUCACAAUCUAUUACAAUUUUUCAAGAAAUACAUAAAUUACUAUACAAAAUGAAAUAUCUCACUUUAACCAUAUUAAGACAACA
rnacentral:sRNA from 1 species